AUGCAUGUCUAAGUAUAAGCACUAGUACUGUGAAACUGCGAAUGGCUCAUUAAAUCAGUUAUCGUUUAUUUGAUUGUACCUUUACUACUUGGAUAACCGUAGUAAUUCUAGAGCUAAUACAUGCGAAAAGUCCCGACUUCUGGAAGGGAUGUAUUUAUUAGAUUAAAAACCAAUGCGGGUUCUGCCCGGUUCUUUGGUGAUUCAUAGUAACUGAUCGAAUCGCACGGCCUUGCGCUGGCGAUGUUUCAUUCAAAUUUCUGCCCUAUCAACUGUCGAUGGUAAGGUAGUGGCUUACCAUGGUUGCAACGGGUGACGGAGAAUUAG
rnacentral:rRNA from 1 species